rnacentral:rRNA from 1 species
UACGUAGAGUCCGAGCGUUGUCCGGAAUUAUUGGGCGUAAAGGGCUCGUAGGCGGUCUGUUGCGUCGGGAGUGAAAUCUUACAGCUUAACUGUGAACUUGCUUUCGAUACGGGCAGACUUGAGGUAUUCAGGGGAGAACGGAAUUCCUGGUGUAGCGGUGAAAUGCGCAGAUAUCAGGAGGAACACCGGUGGCGAAGGCGGAUCUCUGGGCCAUUACUGACGCUGAGGAGCGAAAGCGUGGGGAGCGAACAGG